rnacentral:snRNA from 1 species
CGCAUCAGGUCUCCAAGG